rnacentral:rRNA from 1 species
UACGUAGGGGGCUAGCGUUGUCCGGAAUCAUUGGGCGUAAAGCGCGUGUAGGCGGUCCGGUAAGUCCGCUGUGAAAGUCGGGGGGCUCAACCCUCGAAAGCCGGUGGAAACUGUCGGGCUAGAGUGCGGAAGAGGCGAGUGGAAUUCCUGGUGUAGCGGUGAAAUGCGCAGAUAUCAGGAGGAACACCAAUUGCGAAGGCAGCUCGCUGGGACGUUACUGACGCUGAGACGCGAAAGCGUGGGGAGCAAACAGG